GGAAGUAAAAGUCGUAACAAAGGCUCCGUUGGUGAACCAGCGGAGGGAUCAUUACUGGAAUCGCAAGAUCCCACAACCCUGUGAACCUACCGAAACGUUGCCUCGGCGGGUGCCCGGCCCCCGCGCCGGGCGCUGCGCCCGCCGGCGGCCCCCUACUCUGUCUCUGCAGCGUGGCAUCUCAGAGUCCCAGAAAACAAGUCAAAACUUUCAACAACGGAUCUCUUGGCUCUA
rnacentral:misc_RNA from 1 species